UGGUGAUAAGGGUGUAGCUCUG
rnacentral:miRNA from 2 species